UUUACUUACAGUUGAACUGAACCUCAAAUGUAGAAAGCAGAUGGUCGUCAAGAAUCGGAAAAUGCUCAUGCUUGAAAUAGCAAUGUGACCAAGCAAGGUGGUACUGAAUCAAGUGUAUAACUUCCUGUGUCACUAAGCACAUCAAGAAAAUACAUUUGUAGGCAGUAUGUUUGGCGAAGUAUCUUGGUUUUUUAGGUCAAAAAGCCAAAGCUGACCACUCCAACACAACCUAAGACAUUGGUGCUCCAAGACAACCUCAAGACAUUUCUACGGUACUUCUCUCAUAGUUUUAUCAAAGAACAUUUCAUCUUGUACUAAUCCAAGAGCUUAUGUUCUAAGCUUCUCUUUGUUGAAAAAUUUCUUCCAGGCUAGCUGAGAGUUUAGAAUUGGAACACAUUGCAGGAGCAAGCAGCAACUACGCAAGAAUUAGUCUUUAAAUGAACACAUAUUAUGUAUAAUGUAUGGAAAGCUUAGUUCUACUUUAUAGUAUAUAUAUUCUCUUAAUUAUUUACAUCUUUCAUAUGAAUGUCUGAUUUGAUUCAGUUGUGAACUCCAUACACAAACGUAUGUAUUUGUUCAUAGAUUUG
rnacentral:lncRNA from 1 species